GAGCGUUUAGAGAGUAGGACUAUGUAUUGUUGGGUAUUCAUCUUCGCUGUAUCUGCCAUCAGUGGGUCACAUUCCUUGGACUGUUUCAGUUUUACUGAAGCUGUAAAUUUACGCGAAUGUAAAUCAGUGGAAAAAUGCGAGAAAGGUCAGGUACGAUACCAGAAUUCAAUUAUACC